AGCGAACGCUGGCGGCAGGCCUAACACAUGCAAGUCGAACGAACUCUUCGGAGUUAGUGGCGGACGGGUGAGUAACACGUGGGAACGUGCCUUUAGGUUCGGAAUAACUCAGGGAAACUUGUGCUAAUACCGAAUGUGCCCUUCGGGGGAAAGAUUUAUCGCCUUUAGAGCGGCCCGCGUCUGAUUAGCUAGUUGGUGAGGUAAAGGCUCACCAAGGCGACGAUCAGUAGCUGGUCUGAGAGGAUGAUCAGCCACAUUGGGACUGGGACACGGCCCAAACUCCUACGGGAGGCAGCAGUGGGGAAUCCUGCGCAAUGGGCGAAAGCCUGACGCAGCCAUGCCGCGUGAAUGAUGAAGGUCUUAGGAUUGUAAAAUUCUUUCACCGGGGACGAUAAUGACGGUACCCGGAGAAGAAGCCCCGGCUAACUUCGUGCCAGCCGCCGCCGUAA
rnacentral:rRNA from 1 species